ACUAACUGCCAGGCUGGGAGGACCUGUAUGAGUCACGCUACCUGGCCCCUGGGUGAGGCCUAGGGACUGGCUGGGGCCAAGGCUUUAUGACCAGAUGAGCAAACAGUCUUCAUGAGGAGUGACUAACUGGGUAAUCAGAGUGACGCUGGGCCCUGGACCGGAAUCUCCUGGCUUUCAGGAGAAGAAAACAAAGCCCCUACUUCUCAUGGGACCUACAUUUGAGAAGGAGAGACAGCUAAGAGACAAGACAAUCAAACCAGAUGACUUCAGAUGGUGAUGUGAAGAACAAUCCAAUCAUAAGGGCCCCAUGUCCAAAUCCACACCCAUGGUUUACUGUAAAUCCUUGUAACAAAAUUUCUAUUCUCAAAUAGAAAUAGAGGAAACGCUGCUUAUAAAACUCACAGCAGGGUCUUGUGUUUUGUUAAGGACAAAGGUAAGAUGGGAAUGCUGUAAGAAGCCUGCCUAGGUGCUGGCAACUUUUCUAUCUCAACCGGGUGGCAGUUGUACAUGUUUAUGUAAAAAUCCAGUUUAGACGUCACUGUAAGUUUUACUCAGUAAAAAAGGACAAAAAUGAUAACACUUGGCUGUCUACCGUUUUUUUUGGUGCCUUUCUAUGUACUAGGCACUUC